GACUACUGGGGUAUCUAAGCCUGUUUGCUACCCACGCUUUCGUGCCUCAGCGUCAAUUGUAUCUUAGCAAGCUGCCUUCGCGAUCGGUGUUCUGAAUCAUAUCUAUGAAUGUCACCUCUACAUGAUUCAUUCCGCCUACUCCAUUUACAUUCUAGACUAACAGUAUCAAUGGCAGUUACUCAGUUAAGCUGAGUGAUUUCACCACUGACUUAUUUGUCCGCCUACGCACCCUUUAAACCCAAUAAAUCCGGAUAACGCUCGCAUCCUCCGUAUUACCGCGGCUGCUGGCACGGAGUUAGCCGAUGCUUAUUCAUACGGUACCUUCAGCUAUCUUCGCAAAGAUAGGUUUAUCCCCGUAUAAAAGAAGUUUACAACCCAUAGGGCAGUCUUCCUUCACGCGGCAUGGCUGGUUCAGACUUCCGUCCAUUGACCAAUAUUCCUCACUGCAGCCGCCCGUAGG
rnacentral:rRNA from 1 species